AGGACGAACGCUGGCGGCGUGCCUAACACGUGCAAGUCGAACGAGGUCCAACCAGUGGCAACACUGGGGACGACCGAGUGGCGAACGGGUGAAUAACACGUGAGGAACCUGCCCCGAAGACCGGGAUAACCCUCCGAAAGGAGAGCUAAUACCGGAUACCCCCACCAGAUCGCAUGGUCAGGUGAGGAAAUGGAUUCCGCUUCGGGAGGCCUCGCGGCCUAUCAGCUAGUUGGUGGGGUAACGCC
rnacentral:rRNA from 1 species